rnacentral:rRNA from 1 species
AAUAUUGGACAAUGGGCGAAAGCCUGAUCCAGCCACGCCGCGUGUGUGAAGAAGGUCUCCGGAUUGUAAAGCACCUCUUGUGGGGAGGAAGGGCAGUAGAUUAAUACCUGACUGUUUUGACGUUACCGACAGAAUAAGCACCGGCUACCUUCGCGCCAGCAGCCGCGGUAAUACGAAGGGUGCAAGCGUUAAUCGGAAUUACUGGGAGUAAAGCGGGCGUAGGUGGUUUGUUAAGUUGGAAGUGAAAGCCCCGGGCUCAACCUGGGGACUGCUUUCAAAACUGGCAAGCUAGAGUAUGGCAGAGGGUGGUGGAAUUUCCUGUGUAGCGGUGAAAUGCGUAGAUAUAGGAAGGAACACCAGUGGCGAAGGCGACCACCUGGGCUAAUACUGACACUGAGGUGCGAAAGCGUGGGAAGCAAAC